rnacentral:rRNA from 1 species
UGGGGAAUAUUGGACAAUGGGCGCAAGCCUGAUCCAGCCAUGCGGCGUGAGUGAUGAAGGCCCUAGGGUUGUAAAGCUCUUUCACCGGUGAAGAUAAUGACGGUAACCGGAGAAGAAGCCCCGGCUAACUUCGUGCCAGCAGCCGCGGUAAUACGAAGGGGGCUAGCGUUGUUCGGAUUUACUGGGCGUAAAGCGCACGUAGGCGGACUAUUAAGUCAGGGGUGAAAUCCCGGGGCUCAACCCCGGAACUGCCUUUGAUACUGGUAGUCUUGAGUUCGAGAGAGGUGAGUGGAAUUCCGAGUGUAGAGGUGAAAUUCGUAGAUAUUCGGAGGAACACCAGUGGCGAAGGCGGCUCACUGGCUCGAUACUGACGCUGAGGUGCGAAAGCGUGGGGAGCAAACAGG